UACGAAGGGGGCUAGCGUUGCUCGGAAUCACUGGGCGUAAAGCGCACGUAGGCGGCUUUCUAAGUCAGGGGUGAAAUCCUGGAGCUCAACUCCAGAACUGCCUUUGAUACUGGAGAGCUCGAGUCCGGAAGAGGUGAGUGGAACUGCGAGUGUAGAGGUGAAAUUCGUAGAUAUUCGCAAGAACACCAGUGGCGAAGGCGGCUCACUGGACCGGUACUGACGCUGAGGUGCGAAAGCGUGGGGAGCAAACAGG
rnacentral:rRNA from 1 species